UGAGGUAGUAGGUUGUGUGGUUUCAGGGCAGAGAUUUGUGCCCCAAUCAGGAGAUAACUAUACAACCUACUGCCUUCC
rnacentral:pre_miRNA from 1 species